rnacentral:rRNA from 1 species
CUUUACCUAGCGGCGGACGGGUGAGUAAUACUUAGGAAUCUGCCUAUUAAUGGGGGACAACAUCUCGAAAGGGAUGCUAAUACCGCAUACGCCCUACGGGGGAAAGCAGGGGAUCACUUGUGACCUUGCGUUAAUAGAUGAGCCUAAGUCGGAUUAGCUAGUAGGUGGGGUAAUGGCUCACCUAGGCGACGAUCCCUAGCUGGUCUGAGAGGAUGACCAGCCACACUGGAACUGAGACACGGUCCAGACUCCUACGGGAGGCAGCAGUGGGGAAUAUUGGACAAUGGGGGGAACCCUGAUCCAGCCAUGCCGCGUGUGUGAAGAAGGCCUUAUGGUUGUAAAGCACUUUAAGCGAGGAGGAGGCUACCUAGAUUAAUACUCUAGGAUAGUGGACGUUACUCGCAGAAUAAGCACCGGCUAACUCUGUGCCAGCAGCCGCGGUAAUACAGAGGGUGCGAGCGUUAAUCGGAUUUACUGGGCGUAAAGCGUGCGUAGGUGGCUAAUUAAGUCAAAUGUGAAAUCCCCGAGCUUAACUUGGGA